rnacentral:rRNA from 1 species
CCUACGGGAGGCAGCAGUAGGGAAUAUUGCUCAAUGGGGGAAACCCUGAAGCAGCAACGCCGCGUGGAGGAUGAAGGUUUUCGGAUUGUAAACUCCUUUUGUUAGAGAAGAUAAUGACGGUAUCUAACGAAUAACCACCGGAUAACUCCGUGCCAGAAGCCGCGGUGAUACGGAGGGUGCAAGCGUUACUCGGAAUCACUGGGCGUAAAGAGCGCGUAGGCGGGAUAGCAAGUCCGAUGUGAAAACUUAUGGGUGAACCAUAGAACUGCAUUUGAAACUGUUAUUAUAGAGUAUGGGAGAGGUAGGUGGAAUGCUUGGUGUAGGGGUAAAAUCCGUAGAGAUCAAGAGGAAUACUCAUUGCGAAGGCGACCUGCUAGAACAUAACUGACGCUGAUGCGCGAAAGUGUGGGGAGCGAACAGGAUUAGAUACCCUAGUAGUC